AGCGAACGCUGGCGGCAGGCUUAACACAUGCAAGUCGAGCGGGCGUAGCAAUACGUCAGCGGCAGACGGGUGAGUAACGCGUGGGAACGUACCUUUUGGUUCGGAACAACACAGGGAAACUUGUGCUAAUACCGAAUAAGCCCUUACGGGGAAAGAUUUAUCGCCGAAAGAUCGGCCCGCGUCUGAUUAGCUAGUUGGUGAGGUAACGGCUCACCAAGGCGACGAUCAGUAGCUGGUCUGAGAGGAUGAUCAGCCACAUUGGGACUGAGACACGGCCCAAACUCCUACGGGAGGCAGCAGUGGGGAAUAUUGGACAAUGGGGGCAACCCUGAUCCAGCCAUGCCGCGUGAGUGAUGAAGGCCCUAGGGUUGUAAAGCUCUUUUGUGCGGGAAGAUAAUGACGGUACCGCAAGAAUAAGCCCCGGCUAACUUCGUGCCAGCAGCCGCGGUAAUACGAAGGGGGCUAGCGUUGCUCGGAAUCACUGGGCGUAAAGGGUGCGUAGGCGGGUUUUUAAGUCAGGGGUGAAAUCCUGGAGCUCAACUCCAGAACUGCCUUUGAUACUGAAGAUCUUGAGUCCGGGAGAGGUGAGUGGAACUGCGAGUGUAGAGGUGAAAUUCGUAGAUAUUCGCAAGAACACCAGUGGCGAAGGCGGCUCACUGGCCCGGUACUGACGCUGAGGCACGAAAGCGUGGGGAGCAAACAGGAUUAGAUACCCUGGUAG
rnacentral:rRNA from 1 species